rnacentral:rRNA from 1 species
ACGCCCCGCAAGGGGAGUGGCGCACGGGUGAGUAACACGUGGGAACCUACCUUCUGGUACGGAACAACCAAGGGAAACUUUGGCUAAUACCGUAUACGACCUCCGGGUGAAAGAUUUAUCGCCGGAAGAGGGGCCCGCGUCCGAUUAGGUAGUUGGUGGGGUAACGGCCUACCAAGCCGACGAUCGGUAGCUGGUCUGAGAGGAUGACCAGCCACACUGGGACUGAGACACAGCCCAGACUCCUACGGGAGGCAGCAGUGGGGAAUAUUGGACAAUGGGCGAAAGCCUGAUCCAGCCAUGCCGCGUGAGUGAUGAAGGCCUUCGGGUUGUAAAGCUCUUUCACCCACGACGAUGAUGACGGUAGUGGGAGAAGAAGCCUCGGCUAACUUCGUGCCAGCAGCCGCGGUAAUACGAAGGGGGCAAGCGUUGUUCGGAAUGACUGGGCGUAAAGGGCGCGUAGGCGGUUCGUUGCGUCAGAUGUGAAAGCCCCGGGCUCAACCUGGGAACUGCAUUUGAUACGGGCGGGCUUGAAUCCAAGAGAGGGUGGUGGAAUUCCCAGUGUAGAGGUGAAAUUCGUAGAUAUUGGGAAGAACACCAGUGGCGAAGGCGGCCACCUGGCUUGGUAUUGACGCUGAGGCGCGAAAGCGUGGGGAGCAAACAGGAUUAGAUACCCUGGUAGUCCACGCCGUAAACGAUGUGUGCUAGCCGUCGGGCAGCUUGCUGUUCGGUGGCGCAGCUAACGCGAUAAGC